CUUGACAUCCCUCUGACCGCUCUAGAGAUAGAGCUUUCCUUCGGGACAGAGGUGACAGGUGGUGCAUGGUUGUCGUCAGCUCGUGUCGUGAGAUGUUGGGUUAAGUCCCGCAACGAGCGCAACCCCUAUUGUUAGUUGCCAUCAUUUAGUUGGGCACUCUAGCGAGACUGCCGGUAAUAAACCGGAGGAAGGUGGGGAUGACGUCAAAUCAUCAUGCCCCUUAUGACCUGGGCUACACACGUGCUACAAUGGCUGGUACAACGAGUCGCAAGCCGGUGACGGCAAGCUAAUCUCUUAAAGCCAGUCUCAGUUCGGAUUGUAGGCUGCAACUCGCCUACAUGAAGUCGGAAUCGCUAGUAAUCGCGGAUCAGCACGCCGCGGUGAAUACGUUCCCGGGCCUUGUACACACCGCCCGUCACACCACGAGAGUUUGUAACACCCGAAGUCGGUGAGGUAACCGUAAGGAGCCAGCCGCCUAAGGUGGGAUAGAUGAUUGGGGUGAAGUCGUAACAAGGUAGGCGUAGCGAG
rnacentral:rRNA from 1 species